GACGAACGCUGGCGGCGUGCUUAACACAUGCAAGUCGAACGGAAAGGCCCUGCUUUUGUGGGGUGCUCGAGUGGCGAACGGGUGAGUAACACGUGAGUAACCUGCCCUUGACUUUGGGAUAACUUCAGGAAACUGGGGCUAAUACCGGAUAGGAGCUCCUGCUGCAUGGUGGGGGUUGGAAAGUUUCGGCGGUUGGGGAUGGACUCGCGGCUUAUCAGCUUGUUGGUGGGGUAGUGGCUUACCAAGGCUUUGGCGGGUAGCCGGCCUGAGAGGGUGACCGGCCACAUUGGGACUGAGAUACGGCCCAGACUCCUACGGGAGGCAGCAGUGGGGAAUAUUGCACAAUGGGCGGAAGCCUGAUGCAGCAACGCCGCGUGCGGGAUGACGGCCUUCGGGUUGUAAACCGCUUUCGCCUGUGACGAAGCGUGAGUGACGGUAAUGGGUAAAGAAGCACCGGCUAACUACG
rnacentral:rRNA from 1 species